AACAAUAUCCUGGUGCUGCCUGAGUGCUCCCUAAAGACUCCAGCAUCAGUGAUUUUGUUG
ensembl:miRNA